CUCCAUUCCUUUGACCUCGGCUUGUUUCUCGCUCUCCUGUUUUCUGGCUCCCUUUACUUGGCUUGUCUCCUGACUAUUCUUUGUGUGCUUUAACCCGGCCACUCUAAGUACUGGUAUAGCACCCUUCCUCUCUGUGACCUGAAUCCCGAAUCGUGACAGAAAUGCAUUGAUUCAAUACAGCUCUAUGAGGAGAUGCUGAUUGACCAGGGCUGUGUUUGACUUGUGCUGGCUCUGCCCCUGAUCUGCCUCCUUGAC